AGGAGAAAUCAAAUCCAUAGUGUCUCAAGGAAUCAAAUGGCUUGAGUUUCAAGGACAAGUAAAGUGCAUGGGAGUGACCGUUCUGCUGGCUCAGAGCAUCCCUCAAGUUCCACCCGGCUGGAAAAAAUGCUACCAUUGCUGGGGAGAUGUCACUGUUAGAGAACGGAAAAUUAUUAUUCCAAAGAGUACUGAAGACUGACUGAAUGAGGUCUGGAACAUUAUUGAAAUGACACUUAUGGAUCGAAACAUGUGAAGCUUUCAUCAAAUGUCUCAUAGUUUCAAGGACGGCUGGAUUUAAUCAUUUCCAGGGAUACAUCUAGAGGAAUUCCCAUAACCUGAAUUUGGUGGCAGUGGUGGGAUCCAAAGGAAACUUCUGAGGGCUUUGAGGACAAGAAACACAAGCACUGAUACCCUCAAAUCCUCUGAGUUCUCUUUCUCGCCACUUCCAAAGGCCAUGGGCCAGAUCACUUCAAGGGACCCGCCCUCUUUGCCAAUCUCCCAGCUUUCAAAGGCCUCUGUCCAGCAGUGGAUCAAACACCUAGUAACUCACCCAGGGGCAGAGGUAUUACAUGGAAGAUCUCGAGACAGGCAUGGGAGUGGAUGAUAAGAACCAAUGAGGCGCAUUUUCCAUCGUGAGGAUGUUAC